rnacentral:rRNA from 1 species
CUUUGUUGAUUCUAUUGGUAGUCAUACGCUUGUCUCAAAGAUUAUGUCAUGCAUGUGUAAGUAUGAACUAAUUUAGACUGUGAAACUAUGAGUGGCUCAUUAUAUCAAUUAUAGUUUGUUUAAUGGUAUCUACUACUUGGAUAACCAUAGUAAUUCUAGAGCCAAUAUGUGCAACAAUCUCUGACUUCUAGAAGGGAUACAUUUAUUAAAUAAAAAGUCGAUGCCAGCUUGGCUUGUUGCUCUGAUGAUUCAUGAUAAUUUGAUUGAUUGCAUGGUUACCACAUCCAAGGAAGGUAGCAGGCACACAAAUUACCAAUCUUGACAUGAGAAAAUAGUGACAAUAAAUAACAAUAUAGGGCUCUAUGAAUUUGGUAAUUAUAAUGAGUACAAUCUAAAUCCUUUAAUGAGGAACCAUUGAAGGGUAUGUCUAGUUCUAGCAGUCAUGGUAAUUCUAGCUACAAUAAUAUAUAUUUAGGUUGUUGCAGUUAAAAAGCUUAUAGUUUAAACUAGGGUUGGGUUGUCUGGUCUACCUCAUGGUUAGCACUAGUCUACUCGUCCUUACUACCAGUGAUAUGCUCUUCGCCUUAACUGGUCAGUCAUUCCUUCAACAUUAUUACUUUGAAAAAAUUAAAGUGCUCAAAGUAGGCCAACGCUUGUAUAGAUUAGCAUCGAAUAGCAUCAUAGGAUUUUGGUCCUAUUGUGUUAGCCUUUAAGAUCAAAGUAAUGAUUAAUAGGGAUAGUCGAGGGCAUUCGUAUUUCAUAAACAAAGGUGAAAUUCUUGGAUUUAUGUAAGAUGAACAACUAUGAAAGCAUUUGCUAAGGAUGUUUUCAUUAAUCAAGAACAAAAAUUAGGGGCUCAUAGGUGAUCAGAUACUAUCCUAGUCUUAAUCAUAAAUGAUGCCAAUUAGAGAUUGAUAGAUGUUACUUUUAGGACAUUACCAACACCUUAUGAGAAAUAAAAGUCUUUGGGUUCCAGAGGGAGUAUAGUCGUGGGGUUAAAACUUAAAGGAAUUGAUGGAAGGGUAGCAUCAAGAAUAGAACCUAUGACUUAAUUUGACUCAACAUGGGGAAACUUACUAGGUUCAGACAUAGUAAGGAUCGACAGGCUAAAAGCUCUUUCUUUAUUCCCUGGGUGAAAGUGUAUGGCCAUUAUUAGUUGUGGAGUAAUUUGUCUAGUUAAUUCUAUUAGUGAAUGAGACUUUAGCUUGCUAACUAGCUAUGUAGAGGUGAUCCUUCAUGGUUAACUUUUUAAAGGCAUUAUGGCUAUUUAGGUCAAGAAAGUUUGAGGCAAUAAUAGGUCUGUGAUGCCCUUAGAUGUUAUGUGCUGCACUUACACUACACUGAUGUAUUCAACCAGUCUAGAGCCUUGGUUGAUAGGCUUGGGUAAUCUUUAACAUUUCUUCAUGGUAGGGAUAGAUCAUUAUAAUUGUUGAUCUUUAACAAGGAAUUCCUAGUAAGUGUAAGUCAUCAGCUUGCAUUGACUAUGUCCCUGCCCUUUGUACACACUAUAUAUUGCUCCUACUGAUUGAAUGGUCCGAUAAAGUGUUCGAAUCAUGGUGACAUGAGUGAUUCACUACCCACGAUGUCGUGAGAAAUCCAUUGAACCUAUCAUUUAGAGGAAAGAGAAGUUGUAACAAGGUUUUCAUAAGUGAAUAUGCAGAAG